CCUACGGGAGGCUGCAGUGGGGAAUAUUGGACAAUGGGGGGAACCCUGAUCCAGCCAUGGCGCGUGUGUGAAGAAGGCCCUCGGGUUGUAAAGCACUCUCAGUGAGGAAGAACGCCUGGUGGUUAAUACCCAUCAGGAAAGACAUCACUCACAGAAGAAGCACCGGCUAACUCCGUGCCAGCAGCCGCGGUAAUACGGAGGGUGCGAGCGUUAAUCGGAAUUACUGGGCGUAAAGCGCGCGUAGGUGGCUUGAUAAGCCGGUUGUGAAAGCCCCGGGCUCAACCUGGGAACGGCAUCCGGAACUGUCAAGCUAGAGUGCAGGAGAGGAAGGUAGAAUUCCCGGUGUAGCGGUGAAAUGCGUAGAGAUCGGGAGGAAUACCAGUGGCGAAGGCGGCCUUCUGGACUGACACUGACACUGAGGUGCGAAAGCGUGGGUAGCAAACAGGAUUAGAUACCCCGGUAGUC
rnacentral:rRNA from 1 species